rnacentral:rRNA from 1 species
AGUAGUUGAUCAGUGGCUCAGGACGAACGCUGGCGGCGUGCCUAACACAUGCAAGUCGAACGGAGUCAAGAAGCUUGCUUUUGACUUAGUGGCGGACGGGUGAGUAACGCGUGAGUAACCUGCCUCUGAGAGGGGAAUAACGUUCUGAAAAGAACGCUAAUACCGCAUAACGUAUCGAAGCCGCAUGACUUUGAUACCAAAGAUUUUAUCGCUCGGAGAUGGACUCGCGUCCGAUUAGUUAGUUGGUGAGGUAACGGCUCACCAAGACCGCGAUCGGUAGCCGGACUGAGAGGUUGAUCGGCCACAUUGGGACUGAGACACGGCCCAGACUCCUACGGGAGGCAGCAGUGGGGGAUAUUGCGCAAUGGGGGCAACCCUGACGCCAGCAACGCCGCGUGAAGGAUGAAGGUUUUCGGAUUGUAAACUUCUUUUAUCAGGGACGAAAUCUGACGGUACCUGAUGAAUAAGCUCCGGCUAACUACGUGCCAGCAGCCGC